AAGUAAUCCAUUCAUAAGUCAUUAUGUAAAUAAAGUCAGUAGGUAAAUAAGUCAGUAAAGGUCAUUAUGUAAAUAAAGUCAGUAGGUAAAUAAGUCAGUAAAGGUCCUUAUGUAAAUAAAGUCAGUAGGUAAAUAAGUCAGUAAAGUAAGGUCCUUAUGUAAAUAAAGUCAGUAGGUAAAUAAGUCAGUAAAGGUCCUUAUGUAAAUAAAGUCAGUAGGUAAAUAAGUCAGUAAAGGUCAUUAUGUAAAUAAAGUCAGUAGGUAAAUAAGUCAGUAAAGGUCAUUAUGUAAAUAAAGUCAGUAGGUAAAUAAGUCAGUAAGUAAAUAGUAAGUAAAGACAAAGUAAAGUAAGGUCAGUAAGUAAAUAAAUAAAGUCAUUAAGUGAAUUUAUAAAUUCGGUUAGUAAAAGUCAGUGAAGUCCAGUAAAUUUGCACGGAAAGUGUUUCUGAAGCGGUGUACUCGUCUCAGUGAAUCCUACAAAAAAGAUACACUUCCAAUUUAAUCAGAGAAUUCCACACCAGCAUCUUACGGACUUAAAUUUACUUGCUGUAGUUUGCAUCACUUACACUGUGUCCUCACUGGGAGCCUGUUAUGAGAAAAGGGAUCGUAAACCAUUAUAAUGACUGCUGUAUGUGGACUACAGAUCGAGAGACGAGCAUAAAGCUCAUCAUAAAGCGCAACAGUAACUGGACACUCGGAGGGAGAGUAUACCUGUAUAUCUGUAAAGUGCAAACUAAAUUCUUCUUUUCUGAGCCUGUUCCUAUUUGUGUAAACUGGCAUCAGUUUAAAUUCUCA
ensembl:lncRNA